GAACGCUGGCGGCAUGCCUUACACAUGCAAGUCGAACGGUAGAGUAGCAAUACUUGAGAGUGGCGAACGGGUGAGUAAUAUAUCGGAACGUGCCCAGUCGUGGGGGAUAACGUAGAGAAAUUUACGCUAAUACCGCAUACGAUCUAAGGAUGAAAGCGGGGGGAUUCGCAAGAACCUCGCGCGAUUGGAGCGGCUGAUAUCAGAUUAGGUAGUUGGUGAGGUAAAGGCUCACCAAGCCGACGAUCUGUAGCUGGUCUGAGAGGACGACCAGCCACACUGGGACUGAGACACGGCCCAGACUCCUACGGGAGGCAGCAGUGGGGAAUUUUGGACAAUGGGCGCAAGCCUGAUCCAGCAAUGCCGCGUGCAGGAUGAAGGCCUUCGGGUUGUAAACUGCUUUUGUACGGAACGAAACGGUGAGCUCUAAUACAGUUUGCUAAUGACGGUACCGUAAGAAUAAGCACCGGCUAACUACGUG
rnacentral:rRNA from 1 species